GUGUGCGAUCAUACCAGCACUAAUGCACCGGAUCCCAUCAGAACUCCACAGCUAAGCGUGCUUGGGCGAGAGUAGUACUAGGAUGGGUGACCUCCUGGGAAGUCCUCGUGUCGCACCCC
rnacentral:rRNA from 1 species